GUCUACGGCCAUACCACCCUGAAUGUGCCUGAUCUCGUCUGAUCUUGGAAGCUAAGCAGGGUCGGACCUGGUUAGUACUUGGGUGGUAGAUAAAAUACACUGGACUUCAAAAGUACUGCUGUGUAAUCC
rnacentral:rRNA from 1 species